CUGAAUGUGUUUAUGUGUGUGUGUGUGGUGGAGGAAGGGGCGACGUUAUGUGGCCCACUGCCAAUUGGGGCGCUGCAACAUUUUUGUCCUAUUGAAAAUGCCAAGUCAGGAGCUUGGAGCUUGGCAUACGCUGAGUAUUGGAUAUGUGAAGAUUUCAUUCUUCUAUUUUUUUCAUUUUCAUAAUUGGCUUUUGUGCAAAUCCCACGUCUAUUCAUGGGAAAAAGCCAAUUCAGAUUUCAGAUUUCAGCGCAAUCUUCUGGGAGGAGGCCAUAAAAAUCUGGCCAGGACACGCGAAAUGCAAUUCCAAGGAAGAAGCCGCGCAGCCAGCCAAAAGGAGAGGUAAUAAAUUUCACAACGCCAAUUUUUGACACAACUUUUCUCGGUGGAAAAAGGAAGAGGCAAGAGGGAAGAGGGAAGAAAGAGGAGAAGACGGAGCAGUUAUUCCUUGUGAACGCAGCGUGCGGCAUAUUUUUAUUGCAGGAGUGUAAAUAAUUGCUUUUCAGUCGAUUUUCGUGUCGAAUACGCGAAGUAUUUUUUUUAUUGUUGUUGUUGUUCUUUAUAGUUGUUGUUGUUUAUGUUUUUGUUGUUAUUGACAGUUUAAUGGUCCAAGGCGAUUGGUUUGGGAGUUUCGCUUUCUUUUCUCAAUAUCUCAUUCCCACUUUUGCUCUGCGCAAAUUAUGACAAAUGGUUUUGACUUGCGAGCAAAAAACCUGCCACGAGUUGUACUUUAGCUGGGAGCACAUAAUUUAUGUGAGCCACGCGUGUGGAUUAAAUAUGAGUCAGAAAUGAGUUUCUCUCUUAACAAAAGUGAGAAGUAUAUAGAGAACGGUGGACAGUGGACUGUGUUUCGCCUCUCUCACGCAUAAACAUAAUAAUUACUUUUCAUUGCGAUUCUGCCAAUAAAUAAUUCCAUCCCAUUCCUCUCACUUGCCAAUCAAAUUGCAAUGCCUGCCAUGAUAUAUGACAAGCAAACACGAUUCAUGUCGAUGUGAAAUGAGUCUGGGGACGGCAACAUAGACUUGAAUGACCAACAGAAGAGUGAAAAGAGCACUGUAUUUUGACGCGGCAGAAAUAACAUUUGCAAAGGGCAAAAUCAAAUAUGUAUAAAGCAAACACGCUUCAGGCACAUUACAGGCCAUUGACCAUGAAAAAGCAGUGUUUAUUCCAUUCAUAAAGAGAAAUCAGGUUUUAAUAGAUUU